GCUCGGCCCCUGGGGGGCGCUGGGGCUGCGGGCGCUGGGCGCCGCCGCCCUGGGGCUGGGGGCGCUGCGGCUGCUGGUGCCCCUCCUGCCGCCCCCCUGAGCGCACCUGGGCGCACCUGGGCACACCUGGAUACACCUGGAUGGACGUGGAUGGACGUGGAACACACCUGGAUGGACAUGGGCACACCUGGGUACACCUGGAUGGGCGUGGACACACCUGGAGGGGUCACCUGUGCAGUUCCGGGGGUACCAGGUGUGCCCACGCCCCUCCUGCCGCCCCCCUGAGCGCGCCCGGGCACACCUGGGCGCACCUGGAUGGACGUGGGCACACCUGGAUGGACAUGGGCACACCUGGAGCGCACCUGGAUACACCUGGAUGGACGUGGAACGCACCUGGAUGGACAUGGGCACACCUGGAUACACCUGGAUGGGCGUGGAACGCACCUGGAUGGACGUGGACACACCUGGAGCACACCUGGAUGGACGUGGAUGGACGUGGAACACACCUGGAUGGACGUGGGCACACCUGGAGGGGUCACCUGUGCGGUUCCGGGGCUGCCAGGUGUGCCCACGCCCCUCCUGACCCCGCCCUGGGUGCACCUGGAUGGACGUGGACACACCUGGAUACACCUGGAUACACCUGGAUGGACGUGGGCACACCUGGAGCGCACCUGGAUACACCUGGGUGGACAUGGACACACCUGGAGGGGUUACCUGUGCAGUUCCGGGGGUGCCAGGUGUGCCCACGCCCCUCCUGACCCCACCCUGGGCGCACCUGGAUGGACGUGGGCACACCUGGAGCACACCUGGAUACACCUGGAUGGGCGUGGACACACCUGGAGGGGUCACCUGUGCGGUUCCAGGGCUGCCAGGUGUGCCCACGCCCCUCCUGACCCCGCCCUGGGCGCACCUGGAUGGACGUGGGCACACCUGGAUACACCUGGAUGGGCGUGGACACACCUGGAGGGGUCACCUGUGCGGUUCCAGGGCUGCCAGGUGUGCCCACGCCCCUCCUGCUGCCCCCCUGAGCGCACCUGGGCGCACCUGGAUACACCUGGAUGGACGUGGAACACACCUGGAGCACACCUGGGCGCACCUGGAUGGACGUGGGCACACCUGGAGCGCACCUGGAUACACCUGGAUGGACGUGGAACGCACCUGGAUGGACGUGGACACACCUGGAGGGGUCACCUGUGCGGUUCCGGGGGUGCCAGGUGUGCCCACGCCCCUCCUGCCGCCCCCCUGAGCGCACCUGGGCGCACCUGGGCGCACCUGGAUAGACAUGGACACACCUGGAGCACACCUGGGCACACCUGGAUCACACCUGGGCUUUAUUUGGGGGGGCAGGAAUCGAGUCCAGGUGUGCCGGGGAGG
rnacentral:lncRNA from 1 species